rnacentral:rRNA from 1 species
ACGGGUGAGUAACGCGUGAGAAUUUUCCCUUUAGUGAGGAAUACCCUCGAGAAAUCGAGUCUAAUACCGCAUAAGUCCCUUCGGGGAGAAAGGUGGCCUCUUGCUGCCGCUAAAGGAUAAGCUCGCGUACUAUUAGCUAGUUGGUGGGGUAAUGGCCUACCAAGGCGAAGAUGGUUAGCCGGCCUGAGAGGGUGUACGGCCACAUUGGGACUGAGACACGGCCCAGACUCCUACGGGAGGCAGCAGUGGGGAAUAUUGCACAAUGGGCGAAAGCCUGAUGCAGCGACGCCGCGUGGAGGAUGAAGGUUUUCGGAUUGUAAACUCCUGUUAAGCGGGAAGAAAAGUCUAUAAGUAAUAUGUAUAGAUGUUGACGGUACCGCUAGAGAAAGCUCCGGCUAACUUCGUGCCAGCAGCCGCGGUAAUACGAAGGGAGCGAGCGUUAUUCGGAAUCACUGGGCGUAAAGAGCGUGUAGGCGGCUAAUUAAGUCAGUUGUUAAAUUCCUUGGCUCAACUAAGGACAUGCUGCUGAUACUGAUUAUGCUAGAGUGCAGAAGAGAGAAGUGGAAUUAUCGGA